AUGGAGAGGAAGCUGGGAGCUGUACUGGGGAUUCUGUUUGUGCAGAUUUGCUUGGUGAGAGGAGUUGAGGUGGAGCAGAGUCCUUCAGUCCUGAGUCUCCAUGAAGGAUCCAGUUAUGCUCUGACAUGCAAGUUUUCUACAACCAUGAUGUAUGUACAGUGGUUCCAGCAGAAUCCCAGGGGCAGCCUCAUAAAUCUUUUUUACAUGGCUCCAGGAAAAAAGGAGAAUGGAAGAUUAACCGCAACAUUCAAUUCUAAGGAGCGCAACAGCACCCUGCACAUCAGGGAUGCCCAGCUGGAGGACUCAGGCACCUACCUCUGUGCUGCUGAAGCACAGUGUUUCCAGCAAGCCUGCAGCCUGGUCCAAAACUGCAGCUGGGUGUGCAGCUACAACCCUUACACAGGGAGACUCUGCAGGAGGUUUUUGCAGAGGUGUGUUUUUAUCAGAUCUCCACCAACUACAAAGGUGUGA